GACAGAGGAUGCAAGCGUUAUCCGGAAUGAUUGGGCGUAAAGCGUCUGUAGGUGGCUUUUUAAGUCUGCCGUCAAAUCCCAGGGCUUAACCCUGGACAGGCGGUGGAAACUACCAAGCUGGAGUACGGUAGGGGCAGGGGGAAUUCCCUGUGGAGCGGUGAAAUGCGUAGAGAUCGGGAGGAACACCAGCGGCGAAAGCACCCUGCUGGGCCGGAACUGACACUGAGAGACGAAAGCUUGGGGAGCGAAUAGG
rnacentral:rRNA from 1 species